rnacentral:rRNA from 1 species
GACGAACGCUGGCGGCGUGCCUAAUACAUGCAAGUAGAACGCAGUUGCGAACGGGUGAGUAACGCGUAGGUAACUGCCUCAUAGCGGGGGAUAACUCUUGGAAACGAUAGCUAAUACCGCAUACUGUGAGAUGGACCUGCGUUGUAUUAGCUAGUUGGUGAGGUAAAGGCUCACCAAGGCGACGAUCCAUAGCCGAGCUGAGAGGGUGAUCGGCCAAACUGGGACUGAGACACGGCCCAGACUCCUAAGGGAGGCAGGCGUAGGGAAUCUUCGGCAAUGGGCGGAAAGCUGAACGAGCAACUGCGGGUGAGUGAAGAAGGUUUUCGGGUCGUAAAGCUCUGUUGUUAGAGAAGCGGUACCUAAAGAGGAAGGGACGGCUAACUACGUGCCAGCAGCCGCGGUAAUUC